rnacentral:rRNA from 1 species
AGAGUUUGAUCCUGGCUCAGAUUGAACGCUGGCGGAAUGCUUUACACAUGCAAGUCGAACGGUAGAGGGGGCAACCCCUUGAGAGUGGCGAACGGGUGAGUAAUAUAUCGGAACGUGCCCAGUCGGUGGGGGAUAACGUAGUGAAAAUUACGCUAAUACCGCAUACGAUCUAUGGAUGAAAGCGGGGGAUCGCAAGACCUCGCGCGAUUGGAGCGGCCGAUAUCAGAUUAGGUAGUUGGUGAGGUAAAGGCUCACCAAGCCAACGAUCUGUAGCUGGUCUGAGAGGACGACCAGCCACACUGGAACUGAGACACGGUCCAGACUCCUACGGGAGGCAGCAGUGGGGAAUUUUGGACAAUGGACGCAAGUCUGAUCCAGCCAUUCCGCGUGCAGGACGAAGGCCUUCGGGUUGUAAACUGCUUUUGUACAGAACGAAAAAGUCUCUAUUAAUACUAGGGGCUCAUGACGGUACUGUAAGAAUAAGCACCGGCUAACUACGUGCCAGCAGCCGCGGUAAUACGUAGGGUGCAAGCGUUAAUCGGAAUUACUGGGCGUAAAGCGUGCGCAGGCGGUUAUAUAAGACAGAUGUGAAAUCCCCGGG